rnacentral:tRNA from 1 species
AGACUGGUAGCUCAGUUGGAAGAGUGCCACUGUAUUACACUGGAGGCCACAGGUUCAAUCCAUGUCUAGUCCA